UGCUUUCACUAGCUUGCUAACUCAGAUAUGAACUUCAGGGCAGUUAAAUCAUUUUCUGUCACUUUUAUAGUCUGCAGACUUUCACUCAGUCGAUUUAUUAAACAUUAAAAAUCCACAUUACGGAUCUAACUCACUCAGAGACAGUAAAAAAAGAUGGAGGAAUAAGACGAAGUACACUAAAGUGUGGAGAGGCAGCCUAGUGUUUAGGAAUCCUGAGGUUCUGAGUUGGAACCCCACUCCCACUGACUGCCACUCUGGGUGUCUGAGCAAUACCCUGAACCCCACACCGCUCUCCAGGAGCCACAUAAUGGCAGCCCACUGUUGACCAAGGGAAGAGCAGAUGCCAAACAGUGCAGAGACAGAGCAGUCCUCCUGCAGGGCAUCUCCUUGUAUGGCUGUGCCUCUACAGCAUGGCGCUGCUCAGCCACCAGCCACUACAGCCUCUCUUUUAUACACAAAUAAGUGGUGUCAUCACUCUUUGCAUUGUCACUCUCCUCCCCCCUCUGUUUGUGUCCGUGGCAUACGGCCAGUGAGCCUCUCAGAGAAAGACGAGGCUGCACCAACUGUUGCUCCUCCAUACUUCAAAGACUGUUUAAAUAAAAGUUAGGUACUGCUGGCAAGUUUGAAGAAAACCUGAAAAAAAAAAACGAUUGAUAAAGAACAGUCGGUCAAAGUUCUGAUGAUCUACGCAGGACUCAUUUUAGUUUAC